CAGCUGAGUUUUUGCUGAGUGGUUUUUUAUUGGUUUUUAAAUGAAGAAGCUGAAAAGCUCUUCUUUUUUGCUUUAUUUCUCAUGAAAAUGGUGGUUCUGGUGUGAGAAUUUUAGGGGGGAGGUUUUCUUAUUGUGUUGAAAUUGUUUCUCAUUUGGCUUUUACUUUUGUGUUUGCGUUGGUUUUGUGUAUGAAACUUCAUGUGGAAAUUACUGACUUUUGGGUUAUGGUGGUUUUGGUAUAUUAUCUUUGACAGUGAGAAGAGGGUAAGAUUUUCAGAGUGGAAGAAAGGAUGGAAAGGAGAGAUUUCCUGUUUUGGGAACAAACUUUGUUGGAUUUGGUAUGGAUGGAAAGCUCCAACGCAAACCUUCUCCUUUUGUCAUAAACUAUGAAGGCAUAUCUAUUUAAUGGCUACUGGGAAGAUAUUGGGACCGUUAAGUCCUUUUUUGAUGCUAACUUGGCUCUCACAUAUUAGCCUCCCAAGUUUCAAUUUUAUGAUCUGCUGAAGCCAAUCUUCACGUCUCCUAGGUUUCUACCACCAACGAAGAUAUAAAAAUGCUAGAUUUUGGACUCCAUAAUUUUACAUGGAUGCUUCUUAAGGGAAUGUAGUGUUGAACAUUCCAUAGUUAGGACAUGCUCAAGACUGAAGUAUGGGUCUGAACUGAAGGUAAUUCAUGUCUCAUCCAUGACACACUUCCUUGACAGAGAUGUGUGAAUGGUAUCAUGGUAUGAACUCUUGUUGUUUUUCUUUCUUAGACAUCUAUUUGGUGACCCCCAUGAAAGGAUGAUGACACCCCCCUAUUUGAAU